rnacentral:rRNA from 1 species
CACGUAGGGUGCGAGCGUUGUCCGGAAUUAUUGGGCGUAAAGAGCUCGUAGGCGGUGUGUCGCGUCGGCCGUGAAAACCUGCAGCUUAACUGUGGGCGUGCGGUCGAUACGGGCAUCACUGGAGUUCGGCAGGGGAGACUGGAAUUCCUGGUGUAGCGGUGAAAUGCGCAGAUAUCAGGAGGAACACCGGUGGCGAAGGCGGCUUUCUGGGCCUUACCUGACGCUGAGACGCGAAAGCGUGGGGAGCGAACCGG